GUGCAUAUAAAGUAGCAGAUUGUGAAGGUCGGUGUUCAGAAAUUCAUCGUGCAAUUUUUUAAUUUCCUUCAUAACCCCAUAGGAAAUUUAGUGGAGAAGACGAUCCAAGGCUGCCGGAGUGAAUCUCAACCGACAAGAUGGUGAAAAGUGGAAAAGACUUGAGGUUGGUCUAAAUUCGGGCAGUUUCGAGCAAGUUGUGGUGUUUUAACGACUUUAAGCUGUAGAAAAGGAAUUAGAAGCUGAAAUUUUGGGGUUCGCGUGAAAAGAGGUUUAUUAACAGUUUUUAUGAAGGAUGUUCGUGCAAAUUAUGGAUGGAAAUUGACGAAUUUGUUGGUAAACCGAGGCUAAACGGGAGUUUAGUUGAAGCAGAGUAGGGGUAGUUUUGAGAGCUGAUUUUGAAGUAUUCAAGGAACUUUAAAGCUGAAAAUCCUCAGUUGUAUACCCGUGGAGAAUUUGAAGAAUUUCUCUCAAAUCAGUUAAUCAAUCAGAAUAUUUGCUUCAUGAAUUUUGAAGAGAAUCAAGUAAGAAAGAAAUUUGAGGGCUUAUUAAGGAGAAAAAAUUUGGAAAGGCCAUCAAUUUUUAGGAAAACAGUGGGUUGCACAAAAUUUCGCAGAAACAGGUUAGUCGGGAUUCAAUCAAAAUUUCGAGCUAUCCAAGGUUCAAUUAGGAGAAGUUUAUAAAUUCGAAGGAUCGAGCCGGAAAUUGUAGUGAUCAUCUCCCCAGAGGUUAGCUGCCCUACUGCUCUGCCACUCAAGGACUUUAAUUAAAAGUUCAAAGUCUAAAGAGAAGUUUUAGGUAUUUAUUCUAUAAAUGUUUGUACAUAUGUGUUGCUCAUAUUAGGGGUAGUGAAGUAUGUUGGGACCCACUGAACUUUGUACCUGUUAAUAUGAUGUAGUUAUGUGGUUGUUGAUCCCUAAUGUUUUGAGGUUGUUUUUAAAGUUUUAUUAGUUUGGUGAAUAUUAUAUAUGUAUUAUAGGGAUUUCUAAAAGGUUAAGGAUAUAAGUUAGAUAGUAAG